GACGAACGCUGGCGGCGUGCCUAAUACAUGCAAGUCGAGCGAAUCAUUAGGAGCUUGCUCCUGGUGGUUAGCGGCGGACGGGUGAGUAACACGUGGGCAACCUGCCUGUAAGACUGGGAUAACACCGGGAAACCGGUGCUAAUACCGGAUAAUCCUUUCCCUCUCAUGAGGGAAAGCUGAAAGUCGGUUUCGGCUGACACUUACAGAUGGGCCCGCGGCGCAUUAGCUAGUUGGUGAGGUAACGGCUCACCAAGGCGACGAUGCGUAGCCGACCUGGGAGGGUGAUCGGCCACACUGGGACUGAGACACGACCCAGACUCCUACGGGAGGCAGCAGUAGGGAGUCUUCCACAAUGGACGAAAGUCUGAUGGAGCAACGCCGCGUGAGCGAUGAAGGCCUUCGGGUCGUAAAGCUCUGUUGUUAGGGAAGAACAAGUACAAGAGUAACUGCUUGUACCUUGACGGUACCUAACCAGAAAGCCACGGCUAACUACGUGCCAGCAGCCGCUGUAAGAC
rnacentral:rRNA from 1 species